CCGCCAUCUUGGGAGUGGCCCGCCACCAUAUCAUGGGAGCUCUAAGAGCAAAGACCCACCCGUAACAUUUGGUGGCCUCAUCUGGGGAUUCUCCAAAGCAGCCCGCCAAAAAGGAGCCAACCAGAGGUCACGCCUUCCCGCCUCGGCCUAGGCCCAGCCCCUCAGCCAACCAGCAACCUCCACGUAACGUCCUCGGGCAUGAAAGACGGAGGCCGCAGAGCUCUCUCUCUGUCUUCCCUUCCGCUUCGGCUCUCCCUCGGACUCCUCCAAUAAAGAUCUCUUGACUGCAA